AGCCUCCAGAUUCCUUACCCCCUAGAUCUAAAUAUCCGUCUGAGUGGCUUAAAAAGGAGAAGUAAGACUGAAGUGGAUUUGGAAUCUUUAAUGACAUACACAUUUAUAUCAAACAUUC
rnacentral:snoRNA from 1 species